AUGGGCGCCACUUCGCCGGACUCCGGCGACCUCAUCCUGGUCGAGCCGGCGAGGCCGGGGUCCAAGGUCGCCGUGGUGACCAUCAACCGCCCCGAUGCGCUGAACGCGCUGACGCGCUCGAUGAUGAUCUCCCUGGCCUCGGCGUUCCGGCGGCUGGACGCCGACGACGGCGUGGCCGCGGUGGUGCUCGCGGGCCGCGGCCGCUCCUUCUGCGCAGGGGUGGACCUCACGGCGGCGGAGGAGGUCUUCAAGGGCGACGUCAACGACCCCGCCGCUAACCCCGUCGCCCAGAUGGAGCUCUGCCGGAAGCCCAUCGUCGGCGCCGUCGCCGGGUUCGCGGUCACCGCGGGCUUCGAGAUCGCACUCGCCUGCGAUCUCCUCGUCGCUGGCCGCUCCGCCAAGUUCCUCGACACCCACGCCAAGUUUGGGAUAUUUCCUUCUUGGGGUCUUUCACAGAAGCUCUCUCGUCUCAUCGGGCCAAACAGAGCACGAGAAGUGUCACUAGCUUGCAUGCCUGUCACUGCUGAAAUGGCUGAGAAGUGGGGGCUUGCUAACCACAUUGUGGAAGAUAGUCAGGUGCUGAGUAAGGCCAUAGAGGUCGCCGAGGCCAUUGCGAGGAAUAACCGCAACUUGGUGGUGCUAUACAAGUCAGUUAUAAAUGAUGGGCUUCAGCUGGACAUGAAACAUGCCCGAGCUCUUGAAAAGGAAAGAGCUGUCAACUAUUACAAUGGCAUGACAAAGGAGCAAUUCGCAAAUAUGCAGAAGUUUAUACAAGGCCGGAGUUCUAGAGCACCAUCGAAGUUGUAG
rnacentral:rRNA from 1 species